rnacentral:lncRNA from 1 species
CCUAGGCAUCUUGGGCAGGUGACUGAACACUGGAGCCAGUGUCCCUGGGAGAUAGGGAAGUCCCUCCCCAUGAAGGGACCUAGGUUCUUUGUAUCCUCUCCUGUAGUCCUGGGCCAAUAACUGACUGCUUUAUGGAAAACACACACACACAAAACAAACAAACAAACAAAGAAACCACCUUGCAUUCAUGCCCCAAGACUGAGCAGACCCUGUGGUACAGUUUAUUCCCCAGAGGCCCCAUGGGAUCAAGCUGAAGCCCAGCUGCAUCGGAGACCACAUCCUUUUUCAUUUUUCUUUCCUCCCUUCCCAAUAUGGCUCCCACCGACCCCUACAUGUUUCUUGUGAGUGCACUCCAUUGAUAAAUGUCUUGCACAAACAUCCCCUUCUCAGGUUCUGCUCCAGGGAACUGUACCCAAGACACUACCAGCAUCUGUCCCUCAAUGCCACACACCUGUCAUCCCACACAUCAAAAGGAAUCCCACGUAAUAGGAUACAAGCACAACUGCAAACACACUCACUGCCCCCGCCCCCUCCAACAAGGAGACAAAUGAAAAGUCCAUCACUCAUCCAGAGAAGACUUUUUAGAGCCACUGUUCUUGGAGCCUGUUACCUCUGGAAACUGUUUGGAAACAGGCAAGGUGGAGGACUUCAGUGGAAGAAGGAAGGAACCCAGGCCCACCGGCAGCCCGGAGAAACUGCAACUGUAGCAGCAUUCCUUCCCCCCAGGAAUGUGACAAAGAUGAGCACCAUUCCAACACCUGUUGCUGAGGCACUUUCCAGGGGUCUAGCUGUGGAGGCCCCUACUCUUCUCUAGAGCAGGCACUUCAAUCUUCAGGCCAAAACUAAAAUGUCUGCAUGACCACACUGCCAGGUUGCCCAAGAUUGGCUGACUUUGUAUGCAUCCUGAUUAAAAAUGGCAUCUUGCUCUCUGGUCUGGGAAAAUGCUGUGGCUUUUCCCUGUGACUUUUCUUCACAGCGUCUCCAAACUUCUCCCCAAGUUAGUUCCAGGGCUUAGGAGAAAAAAAGUGCUCUCCCUCGGCCUGGGCUGCUCAGAUCCCCAGUGGAAAGGUGAAUCACAGAGGGAGCUUCUCUGCCUUUCUCACGCACUGGGAAUUCACUCACUUUUAUCUGCUGGAUGCUUGUAUGGGGGCUGUUGGGUUGCAUUUUCCUUCCUGGAAUCUGGGAUGUCCUUCAUGAUUCUGGUGGAAUCCUGUUUACCUUCUUGAAUUAAAGCUCACAGAAUUGAUCUUCAUGCUUUUCCAAAUGGCUGAGGCAUGGUAAAAACCUCUCU